rnacentral:rRNA from 1 species
UACGUAGGGUGCAAGCGUUGUCCGGAUUUAUUGGGCGUAAAGAGCUCGUAGGCGGUCUGUCGCGUCGGAUGUGAAAACCCAGGGCUCAACCCUGGGCCUGCAUUCGAUACGGGCAGACUAGAGUGUGGCAGGGGAGACUGGAAUUCCUGGUGUAGCGGUGAAAUGCGCAGAUAUCAGGAGGAACACCGGUGGCGAAGGCGGCUUCCUGGUCUGCAACUGACGCUGUGGCGCGAAAGCUAGGGGAGCAAACGGG